UACGUAGGGUGCAAGCGUUAAUCGGAAUUACUGGGCGUAAAGCGUGCGCAGGCGGUUUUGUAAGUUUGUCGUGAAAUCCCCGGGCUCAACCUGGGAAUGGCGAUGAAGACUGCAAGGCUAGAAUCUGGCAGAGGGGGGUAGAAUUCCACGUGUAGCAGUGAAAUGCGUAGAGAUGUGGAGGAAUACCGGUGGCGAAGGCGA
rnacentral:rRNA from 1 species